rnacentral:rRNA from 1 species
CCUACGGGGCGCAGCAGUGAGGAAUAUUGGUCAAUGGGCGGAAGCCUGAACCAGCCAAGUCGCGUGAGGGAAUAAGGCCCUACGGGUCGUAAACCUCUUUUGCCGGGGAGCAAGGGCGGGGACGUGUCCCGGCCCGGAGAGUACCCGGAGAAAAAGCAUCGGCUAACUCCGUGCCAGCAGCCGCGGUAAUACGGAGGAUGCGAGCGUUAUCCGGAUUUAUUGGGUUUAAAGGGUGCGCAGGCGGCGUGUCAAGUCAGCGGUAAAAUGUCGGGGCUCAACCCCGGCCGGCCGUUGAAACUGGCGUG